rnacentral:lncRNA from 1 species
CAAACCAUUAGGCUUCCUUUAAGUGUCUUUCAGAUAUUACAAAGAGAGCAGAUAAAUUAUUUAAUGACAAAAUGCUCAUUUUUAGGGUUGCUCGAAGUUCCAGGGAUCUUCCGUUCAAUGGAAAGAAUAUCCAAGGAAAGCUUGUUCACCGAAACCAUCACUUCUUGGGAUUGGUGAGAUGACAUUCUUGCUCGUGAAGAUGAAGGACAAGAAAUGCUUUGGAUUGAGGUCCUAUACUAAUCCACAGCCAUCACACGCCCACCAUAUUGUUCUGCUGGACCUGGACCCAGAGGUAACUCACUGAGAAUUAUGGCUGUGUCCUGGGGUUAAGCUGGGUACGUGGUGAUGCACUGUGGCCAUUUUGCAGACUGCUCUGGCUUCUGGAGCUGAGAUUGAUAAAAAAAAAAGAACAGGUUUUGUGGCUGGUCUGCCUGGGAGAAGACACAGUGGCCAUGGACUGGGAAAUGCCGUUCACUGAGGCCCUGCAGGAGAGAUGUCUUCCUGCUGCUUUUGUAGGAGCUCGGGAGGCAAGAUUUGGUGAUCUUCCUCUGACAGCUGAGCACUAGUCACUGCUGCCAAGUGCUCACAGGA